GGCUGGUCCAAAAGUGGUUAUCUCAGUUGAUUGUUCAGUGUCAGUAACAGAUCCUUGUUCUUCUCUUUCCCCUCUUCUCACUACUGCACUUGACUAGUCUAAA
ensembl:misc_RNA Y_RNA Y RNA